CGAAUCUUUGAACGCACCUUGCGCUCCUUGGUAUUCCGAGGAGCAUGCCUGUUUGAGUGUCAUGA
rnacentral:rRNA from 1 species